rnacentral:rRNA from 1 species
GCUAGCUAGUGGCCAGGCGUCGGGGGAAUACGUAGGGUGCAAGGGUUGUCCGGAAUUAUUGGGCGUAAAGAGCGCGGAGGCGGCUUGUCACGUCUGCUGGGAAAACUCGGGGCUCAACCCCGGGCCUGCAGUGGAUACGGGCUACCUAGAGUGCGGUAGGGGAGACUGGAAUUCCUGGUGUAGCGGUGAAAUGCGCAGAUAUCAGGAGGAACACCGGUGGCGAAGGCGGGUCUCUGGACCGAUACUGACGCUGAGGAGCGAAAGCGUGGGGGGCGAACAGGAUUAGAUACCCUAGUAGUC